CAGGGUGUAGCUCAGUUUGGUUAGAGUACUCGUCUUGGACACGAGAGGUCGCAGGUUCAAAUCCUGCUGCCCUGA
rnacentral:tRNA from 1 species